ensembl:lncRNA
CAGUUACACACUACGUCGUACGAUUGAGACAAGGAAACUUGGAAAUACUUUUCAGAGGUUUCCCAGAGACUAUGGGUUGAGGAGGAACUGGAAGUUUGUCGGCUUAGACCUGGUGUCAUUCCAUCAGUGUUAAACUUCACGGCUCAUCUUGGAAGAGUACGUGCCAGAAAGACCACGACCAAGCAGCCUUGAGAUCUUAGACAGCAUCUCCCUCAGGUCCCUCUCUAUCUCCCCACACAUCCACCAACCACUGGAACACAUCUCCAAAGUUCUGCUGGACCAGCUCAGCUUCCCCUCAGAAGAAGUGCUGCCACCUGCCAGAUGAAGGAGCCUUUUGAGAGGCAGCUGGCAUCGUGAUUGGACUGUACUUUGGUCUGUUCUAAUCCAGCUUCAGCUCCAGAGACGGCAGGCGGGACGAGUCAACGGAGGCCUGGUGGACGAAGGCAUGCAGCUGAGUACAAUCCAGAAAACAACAGAGGAGGAGUGCAGCAGCCCAGAGCCAGAACAACCAGAGUAGCAUCGUAUGUCUCUUAGAAAACAUCAUAGUAUAGCCUUUGGUAUGAAAAAACACCAUCAUAUACAUUGUGUAUUGUACAAAUAACAAGUCAAAG